rnacentral:misc_RNA from 1 species
CGCACCUUGCGCUCCUUGGUAUUCCGAGGAGCAUGCUUGUUUGAGUGUCAUGGUAUUCUCAACCCUUCUGCAUUUUUUAUUAAAUGUGGUUGGGCUUGGACUUGGAGGCUUUGCUGGUGUCCGAAUAUUUUUUUAUUCGGACGUGGGCUCCUCUGAAAUGCAUUAGCUUGAAUAAAUCCAAGCAUGAUCCAGUGUGAUAAUUAUCUAUGCUGCUUCAUCUCGGAAUAAUAAAAUUCUAGCUUCUAACCGUCCUUCGGGACUUACUCUGAACAUCUGACCUCAAAUCAAGUAGGACUACCCGCUGAACUUAA